rnacentral:rRNA from 1 species
AAUCUUCCGCAAUGGACGAAAGUCUGACGGAGCAACGCCGCGUGAGUGAUGAAGGUUUUCGGAUCGUAAAGCUCUGUUGUUAGGGAAGAACAAGUACCGUUCGAAUAGGGCGGUACCGACGGUACCUAACCAGAAAGCCACGGCUAACUACGUGCCAGCAGCCGCGGUAAUACGUAAGCGUUGUCCGGAAUUAUUGGGCGUAAAGGGCUCGCAGGCGGUUUCUUAAGUCUGAUGUGAAAGCCCCCGGCUCAACCGGGGAGGGUCAUUGGAAACUGGGGAACUUGAGUGCAGAAGAGGAGAGUGGAAUUCCACGUGUAGCGGUGAAAUGCGUUGGAGGAACACCAGUGGCGGAAGGCGACUCUCUGAACUGACGCUGAGGAGCGAAAGCGUGGGGAGCGAACAGGAUUAGAUACCUCCACGCCGUUAAACGAUGAGUGCUAAGUGUUAGGGGUUUCCGCGCUGCAGCUAACGCAUUAAGCACUCCGCCUGGGGAGUACGGUCGCAAGACUGAANNUC